rnacentral:rRNA from 1 species
CCUACGGGGGGCAGCAGUGAGGAAUAUUGGUCAAUGGGCGAGAGCCUGAACCAGCCAAGUCGCGUGAGGGAGUACUGCCCUAUGGGUUGUAAACCUCUUUUGUCGGGGAGCAAAAGCCGGACGUGUCCGGCUGUGAGAGUACCCGAAGAAAAAGCAUCGGCUAACUCCGUGCCAGCAACCGCGGUAAUACGGGGGAUGCGAGCGUUAUCCGGAUUUAUGGGGUUUAAAGGGGGCGCAGGCGGAUUUUUAAGUCAGCGGUCAAAUCGUGGGGCUCAACCCCAUCCAGCCGUUGAAACUGGGGAUUUAGAGUGUGCGAGAGGUAUGCGGAAUGCGUGGUGUAGCGGUGAAAUGCAUAGAUAUCACGCAGAACCCCGAUUGCGAAGGCAGCAUACCGGUGCACAACUGACGCUCAGGCACGAAAGCGUGGGUAUCGAACAGGAUUAGAUACCCCUGUAGUC